CGGGUGAGUAACGCGUGAGGAACCUGCCUCAAAGAGGGGGACAACAGUUGGAGACGACUGCUAAUACCGCAUAAGCCCACGGCUCGGCAUCGAGCAGAGGGAAAAGGAGCAAUCCGCUUUGAGAUGGCCUCGCGUCCGAUUAGCUAGUUGGUGAGGUAACGGCCCACCAAGGCGACGAUCGGUAGCCGGACUGGGAGGUUGAACGGCCACAUUGGGACUGAGACACGGCCCAG
rnacentral:rRNA from 1 species